UACAGAGGGUGCGAGCGUUAAUCGGAAUUACUGGGCGUAAAGCGUGCGUAGACGGUUAUUUAAGUCGGAUGUGAAAGCCCCGGGCUCAACCUGGGAAUUGCAUUCGAGACUGCAUUGCUGGAGUACGGAAGAGGAAGGCGGAAUUCCCGGUGUAGCGGUGAAAUGCGUAGAUAUCGGGAGGAACAUCAGUGGCGAAGGCGGCCUUCUGGUCCAGUACUGACACUCAAGUGCGAAAGCGUGGGGAGCAAACAGG
rnacentral:rRNA from 1 species